rnacentral:rRNA from 1 species
AAAGGAAUUGACGGGAACCCGCACAAGCGGUGGAGUAUGUUGUUUAAUUCGAGGAUACACGAAGAACCUUACCAGGUCUUGACAUACCAUUGACCGGUCUAGAGAUAGAUUUUUUCCUUUCGGGGGACAAUGGAUACAGGUGGUGCAUGGUUGUCGUCAGCUCGUGCCGUGAGGUGUUGGGUUAAGUCCCGCAACGAGCGCAACCCCUAUUGAUAGUUGCUAAUAUUAAGUUAAGGACUCUAUUGAGACUGCCAGCGACAAGCUGGAGGAAGGUGGGGAUGACGUCAAAUCAUCAUGCCCUUUAUGACCUGGGCUACAAACGUACUACAAUGGCCAGAUACAAAGAGAUGCGAAGCCGCGAGGUGGAGCGAACCUCAGAAAAAUGGUCUCAGUUCGGAUUGGAGUCUGCAACUCGACUCCAUGAAGUUGGAAUCGCUAGUAAUCGCGAGUCAGCAGAUCGCGGUGAAUACGUUCCCGGGUUUU